rnacentral:rRNA from 1 species
UACGAAGGGGGCUAGCGUUGCUCGGAAUCACUGGGCGUAAAGGGCGCGUAGGCGGCCAUUCAAGUCGGAGGUGAAAGCCCAGGGCUCAACCCUGGAAUUGCCUUCGAUACUGUCUGGCUAGAGACCGGAAGAGGUAAGUGGAACUGCGAGUGUAGAGGUGAAAUUCGUAGAUAUUCGCAAGAACACCAGUGGCGAAGGCGGCUUACUGGUCCGGUUCUGACGCUGAGGCGCGAAAGCCAGGGGAGCAAACGGG